CGCCGAAGAGCUGUAGCUCAACUUAUGUGUGCAAUUGUUUAUUAUUAUGUUCGGAUGUCUCGUAAGAGAAAAUUAAGUUAUAGUAUGAGCUCUGAGAGAGAAAGGGUGCGUGAAGAAAUAAUGUAUCGAAUUAGUAAUUGUGAAACUAUUACUUUUAAAAAUAUGAGUGUUAUAAGAUUUUAAGGGUAAAAAAGUAAAUUGUUUUUAAAAUACCU
rnacentral:lncRNA from 1 species